GCUCAGGAUGAACGCUAGCUACAGGCUUAACACAUGCAAGUCGAGGGGUAGCAGGGUAGCAAUACCGCUGACGACCGGCGCACGGGUGAGUAACACGUAUCCAACCUUCCCAUAACUCGGGGAUAGCCUUUCGAAAGAAAGAUUAAUACCCGAUAGUACUUAUAUAGGGCAUCCUACAUAAGUUAAAGAUUUAUUGGUUAUGGAUGGGGAUGCGUUCCAUUAGAUAGUUGGUGAGGUAACGGCUCACCAAGUCUUCGAUGGAUAGGGGUUCUGAGAGGAAGGUCCCCCACAUUGGUACUGAGACACGGACCAAACUCCUACGGGAGGCAGCAGUGAGGAAUAUUGGUCAAUGGGCGAGAGCCUGAACCAGCCAAGU
rnacentral:rRNA from 1 species